GGUUAAGCGACUAAGCGUACACGGUGGAUGCCCUGGCAGUCAGAGGCGAUGAAGGACGUGCUAAUCUGCGAAAAGCGCCGGCGAGGUGAUAUGAACCUUUGACCCGGCGAUGUCCGAAUGGGGAAACCCAGUGCAAUCCGUUGCACUAUCGUUAACUGAAUACAUAGGUUAACGAGGCGAACCGGGGGAACUGAAACAUCUAAGUACCCCGAGGAAAAGAAAUCAACCGAGAUUCCCCCAGUAGCGGCGAGCGAACGGGGAGCAGCCCGGAGUCUGAAUCAGCUUGUGUGUUAGUGGAACGGUCUGGAAAGUCCGACGGUACAGGGUGAUAGUCCCGUACACGAAAGCACACUUGCUGUGAACUCGAAGAGUAGGGCGGGACACGUGGUAUCCUGUCUGAAUAUGGGGGGACCAUCCUCCAAGGCUAAAUACUCCUGACUGACCGAUAGUGAACCAGUACCGUGAGGGAAAGGCGAAAAGAACCCCGGCGAGGGGAGUGAAAAAGAACCUGAAACCGUGUACGUACAAGCAGUGGGAGCCUCUUUAUGGGGUGACUGCGUACCUUUUGUAUAAUGGGUCAGCGACUUAUAUUCUGUAGCAAGGUUAACCGUAUAGGGGAGCCGAAGGGAAACCGAGUCUUAACUGGGCGUUAAGUUGCAGGGUAUAGACCCGAAACCCGGUGAUCUAGCCAUGGGCAGGUUGAAGGUUGGGUAACACUAACUGGAGGACCGAACCGACUAAUGUUGAAAAAUUAGCGGAUGACCUGUGGCUGGGGGUGAAAGGCCAAUCAAACCGGGAGAUAGCUGGUUCUCCCCGAAAGCUAUUUAGGUAGCGCCUCGUGAACUCAUCUUCGGGGGUAGAGCACUGUUUCGGCUAGGGGGCCAUCCCGGCUUACCAACCCGAUGCAAACUACGAAUACCGAAGAAUGUUAUCACGGGAGACACACGGCGGGUGCUAACGUCCGUCGUGAAGAGGGAAACAACCCAGACCGCCAGCUAAGGUCCCAAAGUCAUGGUUAAGUGGGAAACGAUGUGGGAAGGCACAGACAGCCAGGAUGUUGGCUUAGAAGCAGCCAUCAUUUAAAGAAAGCGUAAUAGCUCACUGGUCGAGUCGGCCUGCGCGGAAGAUGUAACGGGGCUAAACCAUGCACCGAAGCUGCGGCAGCGACACUAUGUGUUGUUGGGUAGGGGAGCGUUCUGUAAGCCGUUGAAGGUGUCCUGUGAGGGGUGCUGGAGGUAUCAGAAGUGCGAAUGCUGACAUAAGUAACGAUAAAGCGGGUGAAAAGCCCGCUCGCCGGAAGACCAAGGGUUCCUGUCCAACGUUAAUCGGGGCAGGGUGAGUCGACCCCUAAGGCGAGGCCGAAAGGCGUAGUCGAUGGGAAACAGGUUAAUAUUCCUGUACUUGGUGUUACUGCGAAGGGGGACGGAGAAGGCUAUGUCAGCCGGGCGACGGUUGUCCCGGUUUAAGCAUGUAGGCGGAGGUUCCAGGUAAAUCCGGUACCUUAUUAACGCUGAGGUGUGAUGACGAGGCACUACGGUGCUGAAGUGAUAAAUGCCCUGCUUCCAGGAAAAGCCUCUAAGCAUCAGGUAACACGAAAUCGUACCCCAAACCGACACAGGUGGUCAGGUAGAGAAUACCAAGGCGCUUGAGAGAACUCGGGUGAAGGAACUAGGCAAAAUGGUGCCGUAACUUCGGGAGAAGGCACGCUGAUGUGUAGGUGAAGCCCCUGCGGGCGGAGCUGAAAUCAGUCGAAGAUACCAGCUGGCUGCAACUGUUUAUUAAAAACACAGCACUGUGCAAACACGAAAGUGGACGUAUACGGUGUGACGCCUGCCCGGUGCCGGAAGGUUAAUUGAUGGGGUUAGCGGCAACGCGAAGCUCUUGAUCGAAGCCCCGGUAAACGGCGGCCGUAACUAUAACGGUCCUAAGGUAGCGAAAUUCCUUGUCGGGUAAGUUCCGACCUGCACGAAUGGCGUAAUGAUGGCCAGGCUGUCUCCACCCGAGACUCAGUGAAAUUGAACUCGCUGUGAAGAUGCAGUGUACCCGCGGCAAGACGGAAAGACCCCGUGAACCUUUACUAUAGCUUGACACUGAACACUGGUCCUUGAUGUGUAGGAUAGGUGGGAGGCUUUGAAGCGUGGACGCCAGUCUGCGUGGAGCCAACCUUGAAAUACCACCCUUUAAUGGCUGGUGUUCUAACGUAGACCCGUAAUCCGGGUUGCGGACAGUGUCUGGUGGGUAGUUUGACUGGGGCGGUCUCCUCCCAAAGAGUAACGGAGGAGCACGAAGGUUGGCUAAUCCUGGUCGGACAUCAGGAGGUUAGUGCAAUGGCAUAAGCCAGCUUGACUGCGAGCGUGACGGCGCGAGCAGGUGCGAAAGCAGGUCAUAGUGAUCCGGUGGUUCUGAAUGGAAGGGCCAUCGCUCAACGGAUAAAAGGUACUCCGGGGAUAACAGGCUGAUACCGCCCAAGAGUUCAUAUCGACGGCGGUGUUUGGCACCUCGAUGUCGGCUCAUCACAUCCUGGGGCUGAAGUAGGUCCCAAGGGUAUGGCUGUUCGCCAUUUAAAGUGGUACGCGAGCUGGGUUUAGAACGUCGUGAGACAGUUCGGUCCCUAUCUGCCGUGGGCGCUGGAGAAUUGAGGGGGCUGCUCCUAGUACGAGAGGACCGGAGUGGACGCAUCACUGGUGUUCGGGUUGUCAUGCCAAUGGCACUGCCCGGUAGCUAAAUGCGGAAAAGAUAAGUGCUGAAAGCAUCUAAGCACGAAACUUGCCCCGAGAUGAGUUCUCCCUGAGACCUUGAGUCUCCUGAAGGAACGUUGAAGACGACGACGUUGAUAGGUCGGGUGUGUAAGCGCAGCGAUGCGUUGAGCUAACCGAUACUAAUGAACCGUGAGGCUUAACCUU
rnacentral:rRNA from 1 species